UUGUAUGGAAUAUUAAGUUUGUGAAGUACAAAAAAUAGGAAAUAACAUAUCCAAUUAACUAAAAACAAAUUCAAAAUAUUCGUAUACAGUGAAACCUCUAAUUAUCGAUCAGCGUGAACUAAAGUUUGUUCCAAUGUUUAUAGUGAACAAUCGGUCAGACAAAUAAGAACCGUACACUUGUCACACCAAAAGUCUUCAGUUUGUGAUCUUGAUUGGACUCAGAUUUAGCAGAGUUUGUUGUAAAUGGACAGUGGCAAUGUUUGGGAAUACUAUCAUGAGUAAAAAGAUGGAAUAAUUCUCAAACUAGCUCUGAAUGUUAUUUUUGGAAAAGUAUUGUCCCGUUAUACUUUUUUUGUCUUGUCUCAGGAGAUUUCUAAUCAUACACUGAUAUGUACAACGCAUGGAUGACCGCUAAAUUUGACAGGACAUAUAUAUGUUUUCUCAUCUACAUGACACGAUAUUGAAUCUCAACAAUUUAUACUUGAAAUGUCAGCUAGUUGGCACAUUAUAACUGUAG
rnacentral:lncRNA from 1 species